GCACACUUGUGUUACGCAUUUUGUUGUAUUUUUUUAUGUAGUGAACUGUAUUUCUUUUGUAAUAUUAUUGUUAAUGUUGUUUUGGCACACAUGUAAUAGAUGUGAGCAAUGUACAGGUCGGCGGGAUUACUUAUCGGCAUUUCGCAGAAUUAAUCGGGUUAUUGUUUAGACUCUCUGCAGACCUGUAUAUUGAAAAAGUGUGCACACGGCAUAUAUAUUGUCCUUGAAACGCCGUUCACAAAUUGUAUUGUUCUUUUAUAUAAUCAUUCUAAGUUCUUCAAUAAAGCAGUUCAGUUGAAGUCUGGUCGAAUCAUUUGAAGGAGGAAGGAAUGUAUUAUAACAAUUUGUUUUUUUAAAACAGUCACUGCGUUAUUUCUACUGCAAAGUAUUGAUAUUAUUUGCAGGUAAUCGCAGAAAAUAGUAAAGUAAUGUUUCCGAAUGUGUUCUCUUAUAAUUAUUUAUGAUUACACUUAUCUCACAUCUUCGUUUUUUAAUUGGAUGAAAGUGUGUGUGUGUUAUACGUAUGUAAAGAUUUCCAUAUAACUUACAAACACACCUUACAUGGCCUUUUUGCGAAACAUCGCGGACGAUUGCUUUAUGUAUAUUGAAUUUCAUUGCUAUAUGGAUGUUGAAGUUGAAUCAAUUAAAAAACAAUUCCAAAACAGCUAACUGCGAUUACCUUUGUGGGAUUUACAUCUAUGUAAAUUGUUUGUACUGGUUUGAAUAACUAAAUAUAUUUCAUGUUGUUCAGUUUAGAUGUCUUAAUUAAUAGCUGCGGCAUUGUUUACAUAUUCGUAUCGCACAUUAUGUGGCAAUUUUUGAAAACUUCUGUUACAAGUUACAGAACAGAUUAUUUCCGUACUUUUGAUUAAGUGCGUUUACUGAAGAAUUGUAUGUACGCACGCCAUCAUACAAAUAAAUGAUUUAAAACAAUUUUAAAACGUUACAAACGUGUUAAUACUUAAUAGAACGAAAGAUUUGACAUACAAAUACAUGUUUCGAACAUUUGGAACUGUUUCGUUUAUCAACGUAAUAACAACGAUUGUUUCCUUGGUCUUUACUCAGGAUUAUUCUAUUUCUUGUAAUAUACAAACAUUUCGUCCUCUCUUUGGAACAUACGAAUGUUUCAUAGUGGUAUUGAAUAAAUGACAUUGUAUUUAGUAGAGUGAAAAUUGUAUCCUUAGGAAUAAACUUGUUGACCCGGAGGGUGUAAUUGUUGUCUACAUUUAAUUAUAUGUUUAGUUUUGUAGAGAAAUAAUUUAUUCGUAUCCCCAAAAUACUCACAAUAUACUGUAUCAUUGCAGUGUAUAAAAAUUUACUUAUGAUUGCCUCUGCAGUAGUAAUAAUUAUGAACACAACAAGAUAAUUUUAAUUAUUUUCACAGCAUUCACAGUAACUGAUGAUCACUAUCCCCCUACGAGGUUCUCCUUCUUCUUGCCGCUUCUACAGUCACCGAUCAUCGCCACCCCCCUACGAGCCUCUCUUUAAGUUAUCUUGCCACAGAUUCCGAUUUUACAGCCACUGAUGAUCGCCGCCCUCCUACGAGCCUCUCUUUAACUUGUCUUGCCACACUUUCAGAUUUUACAGCCACUGAUGAUCGCCGCCCCCGUACGAACUACUGUUUGACUAGCUUUGCCACUCAUUCCGAUUUCACAGUCAUUGAUCAUCGCCGCCCCCCUACGAGCUUAUGUUUAAGUUGCCCAGCCAUAAGUUCCGGUAAGUGUUGCUGAAAAGCUUGACUAACGUUCACUUUUUAUGCAUAUUUCCGACUUUUUUAUGAGGUAUUUUGUAACUAGAAUAUGCAUUAUUUUCACAUUCACCAACGAUGACGUUACUUCUUCCCCUUUGACUUAGAUCCAUCCCCUUCUGCAUGACGCUUCUGCAAAAAUUUCGUAUGUGCCAUGUAAACAUUUUUAUAAUUAAUUUUUCUUUAUUUUUAGGUGUACCAUUGUUACCAAAACCUAUUAUGAGGGAGAGGGGUUUUAGUUGGUAGGUCCUCCUGUUAGGGAAUCCAACACUACCCAGUCGUACGGUCGGCUGGGUGUCUUUCGAAGAUUUCCCCUCUCCCACGAA